AUUGUCUCAUUGUUCCGAUGUAAGCUGCACAACUGGAUUGUGAUUUCUGUUAUUUUACCUUGCUAGGUGGGGCAGCCUUAUUGUACUGGAUGGCUGUCCAGCGACUAGUCUGUACAUGCCAGAAGAUGACAGAGCAACUGUUCUUCACUGUUGGUUUGAGAUUCCACCAGUGAAGAACAGUUGUCUGCUGUAUCCUAACAUGCAUUUAUGUUCCUCAGGUGCAGUAAAUCUUACUAUCUGCCACCCAGUGCCUUUUAUUUAAAGCAUACUCAUCUGGCAGCAUUGUAGUUUAAAUGUAACUGCAUGGUGCACAAUAUCUCCACAGGCAAGUCUGCUGAAAAAAAGAGGAAAAGAAAGAUUUUGGAUUGGUGGAUUUAUAUAUGUAAAAAGCGUGUUUGCCCUGUGCAUCAGGUAACAUUCCUGCAUAUUCACAAUGUCCAAACCUUCUCGCUUAGCUGGACCGCUACCUACUCACACAGGAUCUAGACUGCCUUCACUUAGGAAAGAAGACUUUAGUAGCAAAAUUAGUUCAGGUGAAAAGACUUUGAGAACGGGCAGUGAAGGGAACCUGAUUAAGCAGCAGCAGCAGCAGCAGGUGCAAGCCACAGAAAGACUUCUUUUGCAGAAGGCUCCUAUUCUGAAAGUAAGCACCAAUGAACAUCACAGGAUUUCUAAACAAACAUCCACAGGAUUGCAAUGGGAUUCAUACGGAAGUGGAGUUGUAGAGACAUGGAGAUGAGGUGUGGCUCCUUCCAACAGCAAAAACCUGAAAGACCGUUACAUUCUCAAAGAGCCAGCCUUCAGUCUUUUGCCUGGAUAUUCAAGCUUAGGGUUGAUCCAGACAAUCAGUGAAUGGUUCACCAAGUCACAUUUUGGGGGGAAAUCUAGACCUCUUCAGGCACUCAACAAGAAUGUACAGGCGUGAAUGUGUCAGGCAUGUCCACUCCACCCACAACUUUCCUGUGUUGAGCAGGAAGAUCUGAAAGUGGCUUCUAAGUAUGUUAGGCUGAAUGGACAAGUUUCCAGUUGUGAGGAAGCUACCUAGCACAUUCAACAGAUUACACUUAGAAGCUCCUUUCAGACUUUCAGGUCAUGGAUAGAGUGUGCAUUUUAAUCUUGGACCUGAUAACAGUCUGUAGUGUUUGUGUUGAUACUUUAUUGUAAACUGCCUUGUGUACCUAGUAUAGGCAGAAUAUGUAUAUAGCACAAAUAAACCACACAAAAUAUAUUAAAAUGCUGCUAUUUAUGUAGAGAGGGUUGGACUUGACGGCCUUACAGCCCCUUCCAAUUCUACUAUUUUUUGAUUCUAUUAUUUCAUCUAUUAUUUCAAGUUAGUCUGUACUAGAUAGGUGGGAGUUACUUUCAUUUUAUCAAAAUGUCCCUUGAUGCCAAAGCAACUAGUGUCUUUAGUUUAACACAGAGAGCCAGGAAGCAGAAGAGUAUUAUAGCAUUUAUCCUUUCAAGGAAUAAUUUUCCAGACCCUGGUUUUACAAAGUAUUUUGUAUGUGAUGGACCUGAAGUGGAUUAAUAGGGAAGAGGCUAGAUAAAAUGAGACACUAGUUGCUUUAGCAUAUAUAUCUUCACCUAUGUAUUAGUUUCUAUUGGUCUGCAGGGUAUUCCAAAACAAGUGUUACGCUACUGGAACCAAAUGCAAAGGAAGCCUCCUUCCCCACCCUCACUGGGUUGUUGAGUUACUCCUUUGAGCUGAGCAUUGCUUAAGGGAAUGGGAGAUAUAUUAGAGGUUAUCUUGAAGAGCAGUAGUAAUGAAUUCAUCCUUCCAUUGCAUACAUGGAUGCAUACUGUUGAUGCAAAUGAAGAGAAAGCUUUGACAAGUAGUUUCCACACAUCCUUGAAUUUGUGCCUCUGCUGGGAACUCUCAGCAGGAAAUCCUCCAUAUGUUUUCCUUUAACACACACAGCUUGAGAGGAUUGUCUCAUUUUGAUUCAAAUAUCUGCAUGUAGCAGUAACAUAACCUAAGCAGAGUGAUGAUAAAUGCCAUUGCUGAUAAAAAGAGCACAGUGAUUCAGUUGGAGUGAAUAUUCAGCCAUGUAAUAUUGAAAAGAAGAAAUCUCAACAAUCAACUCUCAAGGGCCCUUUAAAAGAGUAAGCGCAGCUACAUUUUUGGUAUGUUGAAAAAAAUGGAACUUUUGAAGACAUCGAAAUGAUUCCUCUGCAUUCCCAAGGAGUGGAGCAAUGCAGUUCUUGGAUGCUUACAUUACUCUGCGAAUUCUGGGUUAUUUUAACGGCAACAAAAAAAUCGGGCUUAUUUUAACAACAACAUUGCAAAGCUACAAUGAAGCUGGACAGUACGUUUAAAUACCAUGCAAGUCCUAACAGAUGACUGGUAUAUGUGGAUGAAAGCAGUACAAGGAUGUUGAAAGCAUAAGAGUAAUCCUUCAGGCUGAUAGUGUAAAACUCUGGCCUUUCAGAUGUUUUAGGACUACAACUCUCAUCAUUCCUGAUCAUUGGCCAUGGAUAACCCCUUGAACAUCCUGGGACCAGAUGACUAGUUGGAGCACCUUUUCCCUACAUAGACCAGUCCAGGCUCUGAGAACUGGUCUCGGGGGGAGGGGGGGCUACUUGCUGACUCACCGGUGGGCAUGGUUCGCACAACACGGGACACAAGGCAGGGCCAUCACUUGUCUGUAGGAGCACUGCAAAGAUGGAAUUCACUCCCCCUGGAGAUGCAGGUGGCUACACAGUUGUUAAGCUUCUGAUGCCUGAAUAAAACAUACUUGUUCUUUCAGGCUUUUGGAGGAAUUUAAUUACUUUGUUUGUAAUUGAGGCUUUAUACCAGUCUGUUUGGCUUGCUGCUGUUUCUCCUUGUUAUGCGUUUAUAUUGGAUUUUAUCUUGUUGGUAUUGGAUGAGUUUGUUUUAUUUGUAUUAGGUUUUUAGAUAUUAUGUUGGAAAUCACCUUGUGACUACUGUGUAAUGAAGGAAAAAUGGUCUCUUAAUUUGGCUAUUAAGUAGAAUAAGUAAAUAUGCAUGUGGAACAGGUCCUUGCCACAGAGGUAUUGGCCCCACCUUUCCUCAAGCUGUCUCCUCAUAUAAUCAAAAGGGGAUGUAUUUGAUUGGGUGCUAUUGAUGGGCCACAUCAGGCCUCAGUUUGUGUAGGUGUGCAGCACCAUCAAGGUGCACCCAGAUUAUGUACAUUGGUAUAUGCAAUGAGGAGAGAAUUCUAUGUUUCCUGUUUCCCCCCUGGUUUUCCCCACUGAGCUGCUUGUUCCAAAGAGGGGCAGCACAGCCUUAAGGGUUUUGUCACUUGUCAGUUUUGUGAACUGUUUUGUAUUGUGGCUCCUUUUCUGCAUUUUUUUUUGCCUUGACAGACACUUCCAUUUCACUUGGGGUGUACAAAUAACCAUUGGAGAACAGAGACAUUUUGCUUUCUGAGUUCACUAAGCCAGUGUACUCCUUUGAGAGUGAGUGUGGUGGUAGCGGCAGAGCUUUGUCUCCUGGUGCUUUUUAAGGGAGAUUUGUGGCUUUUCAAAAGCUGUGGCCAAACUGUGAAAUUAGAAGAAAAAUAAAUGACGUUUUACCAGAAAUUUAUUGUAAGUGAUAGCUGCAGUUUUCAAAAGCAUUUUAUUUACAGUUGUUACUCUAUGUUCAUUAAACUUAGUGUAUUCUAGUUUUUAAUCUUGGUAUAUUUUUAAUAUUGUUUGCUUCUUAUUGCUCUUUAAAAAUAUUGUU